AAGUCGUAACAAGGUCUCCGUUGGUGAACCAGCGGAGGGAUCAUUACAGAGUACUCGCUCUAUAAAACCCACUGUGAACUUACCUUUUUGUUGCCUCGGCGGGCGGCUCCAGGGCGGAGCCAGGGCCUCUUAGCUGAGGUGCCCGCCGAAGGUCCAAACCAAAACACUGCUGUAGUUGGCAUCUCCGAGUCAAAACACAAAUAAGUUAAAACUUUCAACAACGGAUCUCUUGGUUCUG
rnacentral:misc_RNA from 1 species